AAUACAUAUAUAUACUUCAAACUCUAAAUUCCAAUAGUGGUAUCAGAGUCAUGAGUUUUCAUAUGCUGAAUUUUGAUAUACAUGUUUUUAAAAAAAUUUCAAAAUUAAUUUUUUCUUGAUACAUAAGAUGUAUGAAUGGAUCUUUAAAUUUAAAAUUUAAUUUUAGAUUUAAUUUUAGAACAUAGAGUUGAUAUGUUGUUGCAUGCAU
rnacentral:lncRNA from 1 species